rnacentral:rRNA from 1 species
GAGUUUGAUCCUGGCUCAGGAUGAACGCUGGCGGCGUGCUUAACACAUGCAAGUCGAACGUGAGAGGUAGCAAUAUCUUGAAAGUGGCGCACGGGUGAGUAACACGUAGGUAACCUGCCUCGGAGUGGGGGAUAACAGUUAGAAAUGACUGCUAAUACCGCAUGAAUCCAUUAAGAUGGGAAUGUUGAUGGAGAAAACUCUGGUGCUUCGAGAGGGGCCUGCGGUCGAUUAGCUAGUUGGCGGGGUAACGGCCCACCAAGGCGACGAUCGAUAGCUGGUCUGAGAGGACGAUCAGCCACACGGGAACUGAGACACGGUCCCGACUCCUACGGGGGGCAGCAGUGAGGAAUAUUGGGCAAUGGGCGGAAGCCUGACCCAGCAACGCCGCGUGGAGGAAUGAAGGCCU